rnacentral:tRNA from 1 species
GCCAGUAUGGUGUAGUGGUUUGAGCAUUGGACUAGGACUCUGGAGACCAGGAUUCGAAUCCCAGCUUGGCCA